AGGACAUAUUAAGUUUCCUGCUUUCCAUGGAGAAAAGCAAAUGCUACCCUAGCCCUUAAUUAAGGAUGUUAUCAUUGGUGACAGUGAUGUACCUUGAGCAGGGAAUACUGAAAAGAUGAUGAAGAUCAGAGCCAGGACUUGUAAUCCAGCAGCCUGAGUCCGGAACCUGCAGUCACCUACUAUGCUCACUAUUUCCCUACAUUCCCUACAUGAAGAUUUACCAGGCACUGUGCAAAGUGUGCAGCAAAGUGAUUCCGGUAUAACGACGUAUUUUUUUCAAACCCUCAUUUCUUUGGAGUUGGGAAAUCAACUGCCUCUCUCCCU
ensembl:lncRNA